rnacentral:sRNA from 1 species
GAAGCAUGACGCCGUUGCCUGCUGCAUGUUCCCUUGAUCACAGCCGAUCGAGGACAAAGCAUGCAGCAGUUAAAAAUGCUACAGCAAGCCUUGCGCGUCUGAUAAGACGCGGCGCUGUAGCGUCGGGUAUGCACCACAAGCUCGCUUCGGCGCAUAUGUCCGCAUUCGCGCCUGGAACGCAAUGUUUCAGGCUUUGGUGUCAAGCUCACGAGAUAGUGCGACGGCGGCGGCUUGUCAGCCGCCCCGCGGGGUCUAAAUUGAAAAA